AUAAGGAAAAUAUGUUAAUCUUAGCUUUAGUUUAAAGGGAAUUUAAUGAAAAAAAACCCUCAACUUUGGCCAGAUCCAUUUUUAAACCCUGAACUAUGUUUUUAGUAAAACAAACCCUGAACUAAAACCUGUUAAUAAACUUAACCCCACAGUAAUUAAAUAUUAAUGGGAUAUUAAUUUCCAAAAAUCGACCAAAGAACAAUGACAGAAUCCGUGAUCCAACUGAAGAUCGUCCACCUCAAAAAGUUCCUUAUACACGUGAAAAAGUUCAAAUGGUAAAAUAGAGAACAAUGAAUUAUGUUUCACAAGAUCUUCCUUUUCAAAUUAUUUAAUUUAAUCUUUGCAUAUUUAGACUUGCAGCAACUGUCAACAAGUCGGACACAACAAACGUUCAUGCAAGCGUAAAGUAGUGCCAAAACCACCCAAGAAACCUCAAGGACGACCAAGGAAAAAACAGAAAACAAUGGAUGAAGAGAACCCUAUCACUCAGCCAAUACAAUCUUCUCUUCAAAGUUAAUGCUUGACAAGUCUUUACUUUAGAAUAUCUUGUCCCUCUGAAACGAUUGUUUUUUUUUGUGACAAAUAUUGUUGUGUUGCAACAGCUUCGAUAGUUAUGUUGGUUGGAUUUAUUUAAGCAUGACUCUUUGGAUUAUUUUAAGUUGUUGUAUCUUUCUUUCAGCUUCUAAAAUCCAAACUAAUUAAGCAAUUCAAAAUCAUUUAGAACGUUUUUUUUGUAAUAAAUUCAAAACAGUUUUAAAGAACAUCAUGUGGUUUUUGCGCUAAAUACAAAUGUCUCGUUGUUUUUUUUUUGGAAAUUAAUAUCCCAUUAAUAUUUAAUUACUGUGGGGUUAAGUUUAUUAACAGGUUUUAGUUCAGGAUUUGUUUUACUAAAAACAUAGUUUAGGGUUUAAAAAUGGAUCUGGCCAAAGUUGAGGGUUUUUUUCAUUAAAUUCCCUAGUUUAAAUGAUAAGGAAGAACCUAUUAAAAGAUGAGGUAAAAUACAACUAAAGUCAAGAAACUUUCUAAAACAAGAAAGAGAAAUUCUACUAAUCGGUAAAAUGGAAAAUAUA
rnacentral:sRNA from 1 species